rnacentral:rRNA from 1 species
UACGAAGGGGGCUAGCGUUGUUCGGAAUCACUGGGCGUAAAGGGCGCGUAGGCGGCUAGAUAAGUCGGGGGUGAAAGCCUGUGGCUCAACCACAGAAUUGCCUUCGAUACUGUCUGGCUUGAGACCGGAAGAGGUUAGUGGAACUGCGAGUGUAGAGGUGAAAUUCGUAGAUAUUCGCAAGAACACCAGUGGCGAAGGCGGCUCACUGGCCCGAUACUGACGCUGAGGUGCGAAAGCGUGGGGAGCAAACAGGG